rfam:Triticum aestivum genome assembly, contig: Triticum_aestivum_CS42_TGACv1_scaffold_570493_7AS
AUACUACUCCCUCCGUCCGAAAAAGCUUGUCCCUUAAAAGGAUGUAUCUAGCAUCAAGUUAGUGCUGGAUACAUCCAUUUGAAAGACAAGCUUGGGACAAACUUUUCCGGACCGAGGGAGUACAUG